rnacentral:snRNA from 1 species
UUUUCUUCCGUUGAAUCU